rnacentral:rRNA from 1 species
GGGCCCGCACAAGCGGAGGAGCAUGUGGUUUAAUUCGAUGAUACGCGAGGAACCUUACCCGGGCUUGAACGUAAGACGAAUAUAGUGGAAACAUUAUAGCCUACGGGCGUCUUGCGAGGUGCUGCAUGGUUGUCGUCAGCUCGUGCCGUGAGGUGUUAGGUUAAGUCCUGCAACGAGCGCAACCCUUACACAUAGUUGCCAGCAUGUAAAGAUGGGGACUCUAUGUGAACUGCCUACGCAAGUAGAGAGGAAGGUGGGGAUGACGUCAAAUCAGCACGGCCCUUAUGUUCGGGGCUACACACGUGCUACAAUGGCAUGUACAGAGGGCAGCCACCAUGCGAAUGGGAGCCAAUCCUCAAAACAUGUCUCAGUUCGGAUUGGAGUCUGUAACUCGACUCUAUGAAGUUGGAUUCGCUAGUAAUCGCGCAUCAGCCAUGGCGCGGUGAAUACGUUCCCGGGCCUU